rnacentral:rRNA from 1 species
CCUACGGGUGGCAGCAGUAGGGAAUUUUCGGCAAUGGGGGGAACCCUGACCGAGCAACGCCGCGUGAAGGAAGAAGGAAUUCGUUCUGUAAACUUCUGUUAUAAAGGAAGAAAGACGGAUGGAGGAAAUGACAUCCGAGUGACGGUACAUUAUGAGAAAGCCACGGCUAACUACGUGCCAGCAGCCGAGGUAAUACGUAGGUGGCAAGCGUUAUCCGGAAUUAUUGGGUGAAAAGAGGGAGCAGGCGGCAGCAAAGGUCUGUGGUGAAAGACUGAAGCUUAAACUCAGUAAGCCAUAGAAACCGGCCAGCUUGAGUGCAGGAGAGGAACGUGGAAUUCCAGGUGUAGCGGUGAAAGGCGUAGAUAUAUGGAGGAACACCAGUGGCGAAGGCGACGAUCUGGCCUGCAACUGACGCUCAGUCCCGAAAGCGUGGGGAGCAAAUAGGAUUAGAUACCCUUGUAGUC